CGCCGUCGGCCAUAGCGCCCCAGCUGCGGCCGCCGAGAGGCGGUGCCGGGAAGCGGAGCGGGAGGCACGGGAGCGAGGCCAGGCGCGCGGCGCGCGGCAUUGUGGACGUCGUAGUUCCCCGCUGCGCACCGAGCGCGCACGAGACCCACCGGGAACUACAACUCCCAGAAAGUGGGGACAGCGCUCCCUCGCCCAUUGGUUCCUGCGGAGCCAGGACAACGCCCUGCAGAGAACAUGAUGUCAUUCCCACUUUACAAAAAGAAAAAAAAAAAAAAAAGGAAACUGAGGCACGGAGAAG